GCUGCCAUCUUUCAGACCGCAUCGAACUCCUCCUUUCCGCCGCCGCCGCCGCCGCCGCAGCCAUUCAUGGCGAGGCGCCGCCGGGGAGGAUUCGAACAUUAAUCCAUGCUAUUCCCCACCCGUCCCUGUAAAUCCCAAGCUCCUGCCGCCGUAGCUGCUAUCUGCAGCCUCCGCCCCUCCUCCUCAUCGCCGGCGCUUAUUCCUUCCCCGUAUCACGACGACAACCCAUUCGCCUCACUACUCACUUCCGAUCCCCCUCCGCCGGAUCCGCUCCGCCAGGUUCUCGCCACGGGAGACGUCCACGGCGCGCUCCGCGGCCUCCCUGGCCUCGCUCGCCAGCUGUUCCGGUGGGCGGAGGGCACCCCUCACGGUUUCCCCCGCUCCGCCUCCGCAUUCGCCGCCGUCCUUGUCCCGCUCGCUGAGGCCAGGCGCAACCGCUCCGCUUAUCCCGUCUCCCUCCGCGCUAUCCAGGCUGGCCUUCUCCUUCCCCUCAUCUCUCUCCUCCUCACGUAUCCCCUGUCCCCCUCCUCCCACCACCUCCUCAACUUCCUCUUACGCAUGUCCACCAAGUUUGUGCCCGAAUGCCAAGCUCAGGACCCUGCGCCCACCAGCUGUUCGACACAAUGCCUUUCCGCCUUCCAAGAGAUGGCGCGUCAAGGUGUCGCCCCUUACGUCAAGGUGUGCAACUGCGUGCUCUCUGUGCUGUGCGACGCGGCCAGGUGGGACGACAUGCGUGCUGUGUAUUCAGAUAUGCUUCAGCUUGGGGUUGAGCCAUCCAUUGUCACAUACAAUACAUUGCUGGAUUCUUUUUGUAAGGCAGGGAGGAUCGAUCAGGCUGUCAUGCUGCUCAAGGAUAUGGAGGCCCAAGUUGCUGGCUGCUUGCCGAAUGAUGUCACCUAUAAUGUGGUGAUCAGUGGGCUGGCCAGGAAUGGUGAGCUGGACAAGGCGGCUCAACUGGUUGACAGAAUGCGGUUGUCCAAACAAGCGUCAGCCUUCACAUAUAAUCCACUUAUCAGUGGGUUGUUAGCAAGGGGUUUUGUUGAAAAGGCUGAUGCUUUGCAGCAGGAGAUGCAGAAUGAUGGCAUUGUGCCAACGGUGGUGACAUACAAUACAUUGAUUCAUGGGUUAUUUAAAAGAGGGAACGUGGAGGCGGCAGAGUUGAAAUUUCUGGAAAUGAGGGCAAUGGGGUUGCAGCCAGAUUUGAUUACUUACAAUUCCUUGAUAAAUGGACAUUGUAAGGCAUGUAAUUUGAAGCAGGCACUUUGGUUGCUUGGUGAUUUGAGACGUGCAGGGCUAGCACCGACAGUUAUGACAUAUAACAUCCUUAUAGAUGGCUAUUGUAGAUUAGGUAAUUUAGGGGGGGCUAUGAGAUUCAAGGAGGAGAUGAGAGCAGAGUGCUGCCUGCCCGAUGUUUGUACAUAUACUAUUCUUAUGAAUGGGUCAUGUAAGGUCAAGAACAUUGCUAUGGUAAGGGUGUUCUUUGAUGAAAUGCUGAGUAAGGGUUUAAAGCCAGACUGCUUUGCUUACAACACAAGGAUUUCAGCAGAGCUGACUCUAGGUGCUAUUUCCGAUGCUUUUCAGUUGAGGGAGGAGAUGAUGCCGAGUGGAAUUUCUUCCGAUACAGUUACAUAUAAUAUUCUUAUUGAUGGACUGUGCAAGGCUGGUAGCCUGAAAGAUGCCUAUGUGUUGUGGAUGAAGAUGGUCAGUGAUGGGUUACAACUUGACUGUGUCACAUACACUUGCUUGAUUCAUGCACAUUGUAAGUGGGGGCUUCUAAGGAAAGCAAAUAAUAUUUUUCGUGGCAUGGUUGCAAGUGGUUUGUCACCCUCGGCUGUGACCUAUACCAUUUUUAUUCACACAUACUGUAGGGUGGGAGAUCUUGAUUCAGCAUAUGGCUGGUUCCGGAAGAUGCUGGAAGAAGGAGUGGAACCUAAUGAAGUAACAUAUAAUGUGCUCAUGAAUGCACUAUGCCGGAUAGGGAGAACUGAAUUGGCUUAUCAAUAUUUUCAUGAGAUGCUGGAGAGAGGAUUGGUGCCAAACAAAUACACAUACACUUUGUUGAUAGACGGGAACUGUAAAGAAGGUAACUGGGUGGAGGCUGUAAGGCUGUACUGUGAAAUGCAUCAGAAAGGUAUUCAUCCAGACCAUUGUACACAUAAUGCCUUGUUUAAGGGAUUUGGCGAAGAUCACAUGCACGACACAAUUCAGUACUUGGAGAAUGUUGUUUUGGGUGCAUAGGACGGUCUUCAAGAAAGAUGACAGACGGAAUUUGGGGUGACACUCUGGAUAAAGGAGCUAUGUGAUUUCCAGACAGAUAACACAAACAGGUCCUUCUCUUGCUGUGUGAACUUCCUCACAAUUUCCCCCUGGUCAUAUGCUCAUGGUCAUGGAGAAACAACCCCCAUUGUUUUUUCUUUUCUUUCGAUAAGGCAUAAUGGAAAUCUUUUGACCAUGCCUCCCCAGUAUCUACUAUCUCAAAAGUGAAUGGCUAUGGACCUUUUGGGCUGAGCUUCAACAAUAACAUAUAGGCUUUCUCUUGGUAAGAUACUACCAAGAAUUUUGUAAAACGAAUAAUCCUUGUACCACAGAUUCACGGUCAAUUUUGCCAUAGUCAUCUGACACACACAUUGACUUGUCAGAUAUGUAACACUGUUCCCAUUCUUUGGAUCAUUUAAUGGAUUCUCUUCUUCUCAAUGAUUAGUAUGGUGGGUGGAGGGGAAUUUUUGUCUCAACUCUCAACCGAUUGUGGAGCGGCUUGGCAGGAGGGGACUGCCGACCUACGGCAACUGCAUUCUUCUCAUUACACCGUGAAACCACCGAUCACCUUUUGACCGGUUUUGGAGGAAUUGCUGCCCUGGAGAGGUCUACUAGCCUGCACUCCAACGCUAGGGUGUGAAUUCGGUCCUUGGUGGAUUGAGAAACAUGAGGGGAUUCAACGCCUUUGUCCUGUUGAUAGCCUGGACAAUUUGGAUUUUUUUCUGAUAUGGUUUCCAGUGAAAAAGCCUAACCUGUUAAGCAGCUAGUGAGGACAGUCAAAGACUAUAAUGCGCUAGGUGGUGUGAGGCUGGCUAUAGCGAGAUGAGAAAGGCUGCUUGUUCGUGGUGGUUUAGCAGAAAUUAUUUAGCCUUCCCUAGCUAGCCAUGCUUCCGUAUGGUCUGUUUUUUUUUCCUCUUUCUUUUACCCUUUCUUCCUGUGGCUUGAUUCAAUCCAAAUUCGGCAGUUUGUUGCUCGGUUUGGGGCAAAGUUGUAAGUGUUGUUUCCUAUCCUAAUAUAAUGCCAUGCAGGCGUACUGCAUGUUCUCUAAAAAA